AUUAGCGCAGCGUCUUAAAUCAGUAAGCGAUUUCAUCCCUGUGAGAUACCUCAGGUAAAUAUCGAUCGGGGAAGUUUAUGAAUACACAGUGUAGCUAGCUGUUUACCGUGUACUGAUAAGGGUUUAAAGACGACACGUGUUGAUGAAAGUCUGUGUUUUCACAAGUUUGCGGUUAAUUGGAGCAGGAGUGAUUGGAUUAUAAUUAGUUAAAGAUUAUAAUUAGUCUCUGCAACGAAAUGGGAUAACAGUUGGUGACGGAGUGCAUGGGCUCUUUCAUCACUCUUCUCCCUUGAAGAAGACCAGGCAGUUAUUGAAUGGGCACAGGCGAAAGCCACCCUUACCACAGAUGAACACUUUGCGCACCAUGGAGUGGAUUGUUGGUAAUCUGUCCGAGUCUCACCCAAACAUGAGCAAAGUCGCUACAGUGGGACUGCUUCUACCAACCUCCACAGCUGAUUGUGAGAGAGGUUUCAGAAGUUGAAUGUGUAAAGACCAUCCACCAUUUACCGGUGAGCAUGAAAGUGCUUAAUGCCUUACUCAUGGUGUCCAUGCAGGGACAAAAAUUGAAUGACUUUAAUUUCAGUGGUGCAGUAAAGGAAUUGCACAGAGCCAAAGACAGACACUUACCGGUAUAUGAAAACAAAAAUGCCUAUGUGUUGUUAGUGUUAGUACAAAAGAAGUGGAAGGACAUAUGUGUUGUUUGAAAAUACAUAUAAAAGAAGUGGACAUCUGUUUAGUGUAUAUGAUAUAUUGA
rnacentral:lncRNA from 1 species